CAAGCAGUUAUGUUGUCAGCACUCUUACUGGAUGGCUAGCAUGAUUAGGCCAGUGGCAUUGACCAGAUAGGGUCAGGGAGGAGGGAAUCAGAUGACUGCCUGACCAGAACCUGUACCAGAACUUGAAGACACUGGAGAAGACUGGCUCAAUUUCUGAGCAAGCCAACGUAGUCAAACUUAGUGAAAGACCGAACUGGCUGCCAAGACAAAGAAGAGAGAUUACAGACAGAAAAAAAGAGUCUUUAUCGUCUUAUAAACAGCAUUUAUAAGCCUAAGUUUUAACAUUAGAAUAGAGUAAUUACCUACUGGGCAUGGGAAGGAGUAAUAAAAUAUGUCAAAUGAUAAUGAUAAGUGAUUACAACUCCCUUUAAGCGUUUUUUAUAGUCUGAUUUAGCUAGUUUGACUUUUUAUGAAACUAUUCAAAAUUGAAGGUUGAAUCAGACUAUUUAAGAAGGUAGCUUGAAAUUAAGGUUCUUUAACUAGUAUAUGUGGGUCCAACACAUAGUUAAGAUUUUUUAUAUAUUAUGCUUAUGUGUAGAUUUAUUCUUGACUUGAAAACAUGUGAGAGCAAGUGAUCCCCUCUUUAUAAAGCCACAUCUCUUGUAUUAACAAAAUUUAGU